CAAAAGGCAGGCGAAGUGCCACAGGCACUCGCACUGGCACUUGUCGUGAUUAGUUUAGAAAAAUGUUGGCUAUUAAUUUUCUGCCUUGAGUAACACUUGUUAUUUGGCUUCGCCUUUCGCAUAAUCUUGUUUGACCGCCUUGCGCUGUGUGUUUGCCUGUAGCUGGAUAGCCCCGUAUAGCCCCCAUAGAUAAUCUUUAUGCGCUGCUCUGCUCGGAGUACGGAGUCGGAGAGUACGUGGCGGCCAUACAAAUGGGUCUGACUUUUUUAAGAGUCGAUUCUGUGUCUGUGU